rnacentral:rRNA from 1 species
UACGUAGGGGGCAAGCGUUGUCCGGAUUUAUUGGGCGUAAAGAGCGUGUAGGCGGUUAGGUAGGUCCGUUGUGAAAACUCGAGGCUCAACCUCGAGACGUCGGCGGAAACCCUCUGGCUAGAGUCCGGAAGAGGAGAGUGGAAUUCCUGGUGUAGCGGUGAAAUGCGCAGAUAUCAGGAAGAACACCCGUGGCGAAGGCGGCUCUCUGGGACGGUACUGACGCUGAGACGCGAAAGCGUGGGGAGCAAACAGG